CGGGAGGCUAAUCCUUGUGCGUGGCCUUCACUCUCCUCUGCCUUCCAGCCUGACGCUGUCCCUCCCCACUCCCCAAGACUGAUCCUCCCAUGGGGCUGCAAUCCCAGCUCUGAGGACAUGAGACGACCCCCUUUUCCCAUGGCCCUCCCACAGGAACGAGGGUCCCACAAUACUAUUCAAUAAAGAGUUCUGCUCAGUCCUA